UAUUAUACGUCGUAUAGAUUCAAAAACGCCCUAAAAUGCUCGAAUUUACUUAGGGAAAAUGGUUUUGUAAAUCCGUUUGCAAAUAUCAGUUCAGUCUCCAAAUAGGUAAUUGUAAAACUUUCCCGCGCAUAUUCCUGCUUUAACCACAUAUUUUAUAUAUUUACGUGGCGCAGGUUAAUAUUAAUUCGUAAAUUUUUAUCGACCACCAGACGAAUGGUUUAUUUAUUAUCGCAAUAAAAUUCCCAUAACUAACCUAAAUUCAGACGUAUAUUACGGAAAAUCCGUUUAAAUGCCAUAAUUUUUUUAACCGCUUUAAAUAGGGCGUGCAGUUUUGUUUCCGUAAUCGAAAUAAUUACCGUGGUUUACCUGGCUGCCCUCCAAUUAAUGGCACCCCCGAAUAAAAUCAUCACGUAUCCUUUAAAAAAUUUUCUAAUUUCUGGGUUAUUUCCGAACGAGGCGUCGCUGGCCAUUAUUAAAUGCUAAAUCGUUUAAAUAACACCGUAUUUAAUCCUUAAAAACCUUAUUCCGUACAAAUAUUAUAAUACCCGUUUGGUUAACCGCCUGUAGAAAGGGUUCGGGUUGGUAAAAAACCGGGAAAAUAAAAAAACUGCGUGCGCAACGUUAAGUCGGAAUAUAAUGGCGGUAUACAAUAUUAAACCAAUUAUUUCCUGGUACAACUUUAUUUUUUUGGAAACGUUUUAUUUUUAAACCUUGGUAUAAAUUCUUUUGGAAACGGCGUUAUCGGGUAACCCUUAUUUUCCGUAAAUUUGAAACGCAUACCAAUUUUUUCGAUAUAAAAGUCGUGCAAUAUUAUUGCUAUGCGGCGCUUUUUAUUUCGGAAUACGCGCAUCCCCAGGAACCAGGAUAAUGGUCCUUUUUUCAAUUCGUAUUUUGCUUUCAACCCUGAAAUUACAGCCUUACCCUCUUUAAUAUAUUUUUUAAAAUAAAAAACAACGAUAUUAUCUACAAAAAAAAUUACAAUAAUUUUAUUUUGUUUAAAUACGCAUAUGCAGGGUUCGUUUCCUACAGGUAAUAGCCCCAAAUUCUGCAAAAUUUUCAAAAGUUUUUCGUACCAAAGUUUGGGGGAUUCUCUUAUCCCGUAAAGCGCUUUUCGUAACCUAAACGCAAUUUUUUUACUCCCAAAACCUUUUGGAACGGUGCAAUAUACGGGAAACUCCAUAUUUAACGUUGCGUUAAGAAAUAUAUUGUUAAUAUUUAUUUGUUCCGUUUCCAAAUCGAAAUAGGCCAUUAUGUUGGAAUAGAAGGGAUUGCGUUCAAUUUAUCAAUUCAAUCGGUGACCUACGUGUAAACCCGCACGUAACUUAUCCGACCCUCGAUUACGGCUAUACAAGGAAAAAACGAUUAGAAAUUCGAACGUAGACAAAUUAGUCGUUAGAUAAAAAUAUAUUACUUUUUACCCAAUAAUAACGUUUUAUUCAUCGAUCGAUUUACGAAAGGCCUAUUAAUAUUAAUUAAUAUUAUCUAGGUAAUAUAAAAAAGCAAAAUAAAAGGAUAAAACGUUAAUACCGUUAUUUUACAAAUGUUUAGGACCGAUAGAAUAUUUUACGGAUAAUAUUGAAAAAACCGUUGAUAUACGUUAGGAUUUUUAUAUUAAAUGUAUAACGUUUAUCCAAACGUUAUAUAACAAAUACAAAAAUAAUAUCCGUCCUAACCAAUUAAAAAUUUUUGGAUUUUACCAUUUAGGCCAAUUAUUUUAUAAUUAAUAACCAAUUUAAACAAAAUAAUAAUAUUCCGUAAACGACAAAAUACGGUACGAUAAACGGGAAAUCGGAUUUCCAAAACGACGACAAACGUUAAAAUAUAGAACGAAUUCAUUUCGAUA
rnacentral:sRNA from 1 species